rnacentral:rRNA from 1 species
CCUACGGGUGGCUGCAGUGAGGAAUAUUGGUCAAUGGGCGCAAGCCUGACCCAGCAACGCCGCGUGAAGGUAGGAGGCUUUCGGGUUGUAAACUUCUUUUAAGAGGGAAGAGCAGAAGACGGUACCUCUUGAAUAAGCCACGGCUAACUACGUGCCAGCAGCCGCGGUAAUCCGUAGGUGGCAAGCGUUUUCCGGAUUUACUGGGUGUAAAGGGCGUGCAGCCGGGAAGACAAGUCAGAUGUGAAAUCCCGCGGCUCAACCGCGGAACUGCAUUUGAAACUGUUUUUCUUGAGUACCGGAGAGGUCAUCGGAAUGCGUUGUGUAGCGGUGAAAUGCGUAGAUAUAAGGCAGAACACCAGUGGCGAAGGCGGAUGACGGGACGGCAACUGACGGUGAGGCGCGAAAGCGUGGGGAGCAAACAGGAUUAGAUACCCUGGUAGUC